GGAGGGGUGGCUCACAGAACCAGCAGGACCCAGGCUGCUUGCUGUGAGAGGGUCGAGCACUGAGGAGAAGGCCACCAAGGGGCAGGGGAGGAGAUGGGGUGGGGGACAGCUUCUGUUGCUGGCCAUGACAACAGGAUCAUAAACAUUUUUAGUUGGAGCCCAGCAGGAUGCGUUCUGGAAGCUCCUUAAGCUUGGGUCAGAUAGAAAGCAGGAAAUAAGGAGCAGAAAUUGCUGCCUAGUGGAGCUCUCUGCUCGUCCAGCCCUGGCCUGGCAGCCCACAACCCAGUGGUGCAGCGCGCCGGGAGAUGGAGAUUCCAAGGCAACGGUUCCUUGGUUACUGUUCCCUGGCUACCACGAUACUCAUCCCCCAUUGGCCAGCACCAGGAAUCUACCUGGCGCGUGCCUUGGUACCCGCUGUCCCUCCCCCUAUGAGGGAGGAGGAGAGAACCUGGGGUGCUCGCACAGUGCUGGGCAUCCCCCUAGUAACCAUGGCAACCCAGCAAUUGGCACAGGAACCAGCCCACCAGAGCUGCAUUCUCCUGGAACACAAAGGGCCCUGGGGACCCGCCCUCAGACUCAAUCUCCGCCUCUCAGAAAUGGGGAUGAGGUCACUGUGGUCACUCCCUCCCAGACACUAGCCUCUAGUGGCUGUGCUCUCCUGGCCUUCCAGCCCCUAUGCUGCCUCAGCCCUAGCUGAGGCCUCAGGGAACUGCUGCUCCCUCCUGCAGCCAGAAAGCUAAGCCAGCAGCUUUCCUGCUUUUUCUUCCUGUUCUCCAGCUUUAUUAUGCCCUGAUUCUUUCUAGGCAGCUGCGGCACAGCAUCCAUUUCACAGAAGGGAAUGCAGAGAUGUCUCUCAUCUGAUGCAGGCACAGGUUGAGGACCCACCGGGAGAAGAAGCCUGGGCCAAGGAAGACAGACCUUGUUUCAAGAUGAGAAACUGAGGCAGAGCCCAGGGUUCCUGGUUUCCAGAUACUACCGGGGGUAUCAUGCUUCUCUGGGAGAGCCUAUUUGCCUCAGCCUUACCCAGAAGGAAGGUCAGACCUGCAGGAUACUAGUGCUGGUUCCCCAGGCAGACUCACCCCGAAUCGCUUGUCUCCAGAGCACCUGCCACACCCCAUCAGAAAUGAGAAGAGGUAUUUGGACCUGCGCUGGCCUCUGCUUCUCUAACACCUGGGCCUAGGCAGGUGUCAGCUAAGGAAUCCAUCCACAGGGAACCAGGAUGGGAAGAUGGAGACCUUAAAUCUACACAUCUCACCAGCUUCAAUCCCUGGAGACAAGACACUGCCCCGAAGGUAAGCUUUGUGAAGGUGGAGACUUCUUGAUGCAGCUUACACAGUGUUCUCUGGAUCCUGGGUCUAGCACAGAGCAGAACCACAGGUAUUCGGGAUGUUGACACAGACUGUUAGAAAUCAUCUAAGUCCAGAGAAAUGGUAACUGGACGGUAGCAGCUCCAGGGAGAUCCUUGGGUCAGCUCUGAGUGGGAGGCUGAAGAUCCUUCAAGAUCAUCACAUAAGACAGACAGACCUCUGGGGAUCCUACACACGACUGUACCAAAUCCUCUCUUAUUCUCAAGAGCACCAGAGAGGAGCAGAAUCUUGCAUGUAUGGUUGUUCAGUUGAGUUGUAUCACAACCAGAAAAAUGCUGGCCUUUCUCACUAUAUAACUUGUAUGGUCCAUUUCAUAGACCUUGCAACCUGGGGUAAGAAAUCCCCAAUUGCAUCCCACCCCCAAUGAAAGACAAGAUGAGGGAGCACAGCAUCAAAUCCCCUUAUCCCAAUCAGCAAUUCUACCCAAGACACCUCUCCUUCUGCCUCUAAGUGCAGAAUCUGCCUAAGUCUUAUGAUCACCCAAGAACUCUCGCUCUGUGCUGGGUCUUGAGGAGACUCACGUCUCCUUUUUACAGGAUGCAAUCCUUGUGCCCUUUUUAAAAAAAGUGCUGUCUGGGCCCUUGGGAAUGAACAAAUGUGUAUAUGUGCAAGGGUGCAUGUGUGCAUCUGUUUCGAUGUCCCACACACAACCCAGAUGGAUAUUGACGUACACCUGAGAUUAAUAACUACCCUUGGCCAAUAGAUACUACUGGGUGAUGGGAGCCCAGACCUCUGCUAAACAGAAUAUGGGUCGGCAGUGACUGGGUAGCACAGCUUUGGGCUGCCAGAGCUCUGCUCUUGUAGGGUUAGGGGGAAAAGGGCAGAUUCUCCACCCCAAAGCCUGGAGAGCAAGAGGUGUUCUGGGGUGGGUUAUGCCUUUCCCCACACAGGGCCAUAUCCCAAAGCCAGCUCCUCCACCAGGCCAAACCGGCCACUUGCCCAGAACUCUUUGCAUGAUCUCAACCCCCUAGAGGCAGGGUUGGGACAAUGGGUGGGCCGCCUGCCUGCUUGUGCUGGGCUUGUGUUGGCCUGUGCUGGCCUCUCCUGUGACUGACCUGCAGGACAUGAGAGCUUGUCUCCCGAGUCCAUCCCUCCAGGCCUGGCUGCCUGCCAGUGCUGCAGUACCAUGGCAUGGACGCCUGGCUAUCUUGUCCCCUCCUCCAGCGCCCAGGUCAGUAUCUCUAACUGGCUACACACCCUGGUUGUGGGUGAGGCCAGCUCAACUGGGGUCCUUUAGACCUACCCUUAGUCUUUCCCGUUUCCUUCAGAAGAGCCUGCUUCCUGCCUGCAGGGGUGGGGGGGGCGCUAGGAACAGAAUGGGCACUUGCCCUGGAGAAUACUAGGAGAAAUGAUGAGUCCAGAAUGGGGCAGUAUAGGCCACGUUGGUUUCCAGGCCACCCUGGGGGCUCCAGCCCCAGAGCACUGGUCCAUCCCCUCCCCCCAACUCAGAGACACAACAGCUGGGAGUGCAGCCCGGCUCCUCAGCCAUCAGGAGCUAAGUGCCUCUUGUGCUGAGUGAAGGGCUCAGGGACCCAGUGGAUCUACUCAUCUCUUCGUUCCUCUUUGGGUUCCUUCCAUAGUCCCUCCCAGCAGGAUCCCCAGACAAGCAGCUGGGUCCACCUGCCCCCCUCCCGCCCCCAAUCCCAAUUGACUGGUCCAUGCCAUCCCUUUCAAGUGCGGAAGAGAAGGGUUCAUCCUUGCCUCCUAGUCUUCCAAGAACUGUGAGGGGUAAAGCAGUCACUUCUCGGUUCCCCCGUGGCAGUGAACCUCCUUCCAUCAUACCCGAACCCAGCAUGGUGGGGGGGCAACAAAGUCCAAGAAGCCCCCGGUGGGCGGGGCGCCCUGGACCCUGCCUGCUCCGCUCCUCCCCCGCCCUAGCUUUCCUUUGUGUUUUGGCCGGGCCGGGCUGGGCUGGGCAAGGCAGGCUGCGCUGACUCCGCUACCUCGGUCCCCGCCCCGUCUCCGCCCGGUCCUCUACCGCUGGAAGGUGGCGAAGGUGCCCUUGGCCCGCCCGUGUACACCUGUCCCUCGGGCCCGUGGACCGGGGUAGGAAGGGAGGGGGAUGGGCUCCAGCAAGGGCCACGCGGCCCGAGGUCACCCAUCUGGACCCCGCUUCGAACCAGCCUGCCUGCGGCCACCGCUCCCACCGCGCGCUGGGGCGCCGCGGGGCGCGCGGGCCGGCAGCGCCCCGCCUGGCCCAGGGCGGCCCCUCCCCCGGCGCGCACAAAGGCAGCCCCUCCCCGGCCCUCCCGGCCCCGAUGCACCAUUUCGGGGUCCCUCCUCCUUCCCAGCUGCUUCAGGGUGGCGGGGCUGGACGGAAACAAAGGCACGGCGGCGGCGCGGGGACAAAGGGGC